rnacentral:lncRNA from 1 species
CUGGUGGGGCCCUGGAACACCAUGGAUGUCAUCAAUAGGUCGUAGAACCCUGCUGAGGCCUUAGUGAUAACUGGUAUCAUACCAACCAGGGUAUCAUACUGAGUGUUACGAAGGACAGUGAUCUGGUGAACAGAUAGUGUCUUAUUUGCUUUUUUGGGGGGUGUAUACAUUUAAUUUCUUACCUUUACUAAUAAUUCUCUGAUAACAGUCUCAGACUCUUACUUGCUAUCAGCAAUUCUGCAAAGAGUUGAACCAUGAAACAUAAAGAGAAGAAAAAACACCAGAAGAAGAAACCCUUAAAAUGACCUGUGAAAAAGUCAAGGGGUACAAGAGGAAAGUUGGAUUUACAAGAUGUUCUGCAGGGUAGAGCCAAGGUACUGGCCCAUACUCAAGGCCAUGAAGUGGCAGAUAGUUCUUCCUCAACCUCAGGGGACUUCUCCUAUGAAGACAAAUUCUUGGAUGCAGAACUGCACAACUCUCCAGAGGAUACCGCUGAGACACAUGAGAUGGUCCCAAGUUCAAAUCUGGAUGCAGGAGAGAAUUUCUCAGUCUCAGAACAUUUGGCGUGCAUCUCUUCUUCAAGCAAGUGCAUUCCUAUGGAUGAGGAUGGUCCUGGAUUGUCCAAGAGGCUUUUAAAUCAUGAUUUGAUGGAGAAGGAGAAUUUCUCCUUCAUGGCACAUUCUCAUUUACCUUCCUUCUUGGCCAAUAACCCCUUACAGUCUGCAACAUCUACUGAAAAGAAAAAAGUCCUGAAUGUUUACUAUAAGCCUGUCCCAAUGAAAAGGGGUAUGGCUUCCUUGGGGGAUACAGAAGAUGAUUUGGAGCCCCCCCGCAAAGAUGACAAGAAUAGCAAAAAUUACCUUUCCUGAGAAGAUCCCUUCAAAAGCCAGCCUCUCUUCUGUGUGCCUAAGAGAUGUCCUAACUGACAGUGAAAAUGGCUUGCACAGGGAAGGCCAAGAGGAAAGGGAAGAGGCCGAGAAUCUGGCCCAGUAUUCAGUGCUGGAGGACCUGUAGAGUGGCUUUAGGUGCAUGGGCUGCUACCAGGUCUUCCCCAAAAUGCGGAUGCUUAAGAAACACCUGGAGGAUGGGGUUGAGGGUGGUGCUUCAUGCCUUAGUCUUGCAUUUGCCAAACUAAGGAACAAAACGAAGCAAAGCAAGAGAAUCACAGGGGGGAGAAUGGGAAUAUGACAACAUCUGGAGGUGAUAUGGAG